AUGCCCCAAUGGAUUCUGGUACUGCCGCUACUCCACCUCCUAAAAGGCACCGCAAAGCCCUUUCAGGUACCAGUUCCUGGAAACUUGAAGUUUGGCUCAUCCUGGGCAGGUUUGCAAGGCCUUGAUAUUGGUCCCGUGGCACACAUGAACAGCCAACAGAGGAAAGCACUGGUGAAUGCGGUGAAAAACAACGGUCACCUAAUGGAAGUGGAUGCACUUUUAGUGCGGUCCUGCUUGUACUUGAUGACAUUUGAUGAUCUGAUGGAGUGUGUCAUCAAUAUUAACACUGAGCUUUUGGACAUGCUGAAUGUUUUUCUCAACAAGGCUCCCGGCGAUAUUACUGCCAGUACAGUAACAACAGUGUCUGACAUCCUCUCACAUAUCCAAGGUAAUCUCCUUGAGGGAAAAUACAGUCGUUUUACUGAGGCUUACAGGAGAGCGUGCCUAGUGACAACAGUGAAACUUUUGGAGAAGGUUUGCAGAGGAGUCAAACCAGAAUCAUUUACCCAGAACUACCCUGAUAUUCCUGUGGCCUGUAUGAAUCUGGUUGCAUCAGUGUCAGACUUUGUUCACUGUAACGAGCAACAGGUAUGUCAAGUGAAUCUUAUAGGGUGAGCUGUUAGCGUUUCAGACAUUAUUAAGUCUUGCUAGUCUCAAAUACUGUGCUAAUCUCACUUAGGAGAAUCAAGAAAUGGAAACAGAGCAGCAGUAUACAAAUGACUCCAUCUCUCAGGCUUUGGACAUGAUGAGAAAUUGGAUCAGCCUUUCCUUUAGGCAGCGUUUGCUUAACAGAGGCUGGUCAUCCCUGUUACGAGAUGGGACCGCAGCAGAGAUUGAAGUGAGUGUUUUUGUUAUAUUUUCUAAGUAAAACACAAGUCAUACAUGGUGAUGCUCAUAGCAGUCAUUGGUAGAGAAAGCUGGAAAAUGGUUCUUUUGUCGGUUGUGUUUGACAGAUGUGGAACAGCGUAAUCUCCAUCCACUUUGAAGAUGAACUUUGCACAAAACAAUGGAGACAGAAAUUCACAAUGGAUUUUGAGGGCAAGUACAUGAAGGUAUGUAAGGCACCCUUAUUUUUUGUUCAAAAUAUACUGCUCGAAAAAAUUAAGGGAACACUUUAAUCACAGAUCUUGAUGAACUUAUUAUCCAAGUUGAAAUUC
rnacentral:lncRNA from 1 species